rnacentral:rRNA from 1 species
AUUGAACGCUGGCGGCAGGCCUAACACAUGCAAGUCGAAAGAGUGGCGGACGGGUGAGUAAUGUCUGGGAAACUGCCCGAUGGAGGGGGAUAACUCCUGGAAACGGUAGCUAAUACCGCAUACCAUCGGAUGUGCCGAGAUGGGAUGAGCUUGUCGGUGAGGUAACGGCUCACCUAGGCGACGAUCCCUACCUUGUCUGAGAGGAUGACCAGAGACACGGGAACGGAGACACGGUCCAGACUCCUACGGGAGGCAGCAGCGGGGAAUAUUGCACAAUGGGCGGAAGCCUGAUGCAGCCAGGCCGCGUGUAUGAAGAGGGCCUUCGGGUUGUAAAGUACUUUCAGCGGGGAGGCGUUACCCGCAGAAGAAGCACCGGCUAACUCCGUGCCAGCAGCCGCGGUAAUUC